rnacentral:misc_RNA from 1 species
AUAAACAUGAGGAUUUGGGGAAUUUUAUCCUGUCGGUUCUCGACAGAGUGCAUUGUGGGAAAUCCAAGAUGUCUGCGCCCAUGAGGCAUGUCAGCCGAUGUUGUCAACGACGCAUCUCGAGUUGUCUAAGAGUAUCAGGGAAUAGUGAAUCAAAGACACGCGUCCUCUCUGCGUUUUCUACAUAUUUUGAUACAAAGAAAACUGUCCUUGGCAUCGAAACAAGCUGCGAUGACACCGGUGCAGCCGUUGUUGAUAACAGAGGUCGCGUUCUUGGGGAGGCGUUAAAUUCCCAAGUCAAAGUUCAUGUGGAAGCUGGUGGCAUACUUCCCCCAGUGGCUCGUAACCUCCAUGUAGAGAGCAUUGCUGGAGUUGUACAGGAAGCCUUGGACCGAGCCAGUAUGACAGUCCAUGAUGUGGAUGCAGUUGCUGUGACAGUGGAGCCAGGGCUGGCGCUGUGCCUGAAGGUCGGGUUGGACCAUGCCAAAUCUGUAGUCAGGCACUCCGGGAAACCGUUGAUACCGAUUCAUCAUAUGCAGGCACAUGCUCUCAUGGCCAGAAUGAGUGACAGAGUAGACUUUCCCUUCCUGGUGUUGCUCAUCAGUGGCGGCCAUUGUUUACUCGCGGUGGCGAAAGAUGUUGCGGAUUUUGUGUUGCUGGGAGAGAGUCUGGACGACGCACCAGGGGAGGCAUUUGACAAGAUUGCUCGUCAACUGAAUCUGAAAAAUCUCCCACAAUUCAGUAGUGUAAGUGGUGGUGUUGCCAUAGAAACCUUGGCACGUGAAGGCAACCCCAAGGCCUUUGACCUCCCUCUGAUGCUGACACAGAUUCGUACGUGUGACUUCUCUUUUUCUGGCCUGAAGUCUCAGGCUAAGAGAUUCAUAGCGCGGGAAGAGGAGAGGCAAGGUGUGUCCAGAGAGGAUAUUUUACCGAAUGUAGCAGACAUAUGCGCUUCCUUCCAAUAUGGCGUCCUGAAGCACCUGGCACGGCGGGUUCAGAGGUCGCUGCUCUUCUGUGAGCUGCAUGGUCUGCUGCCAAAACACAAGAAGACCCUGGUUGUGUCUGGCGGGGUUGGCAGCAAUCAGUUCAUCAGAUCAGGACUCCAGAAGGAAUGGCAUGGAGAAACUGCUGAGUGGACAGGAUUUUUCAGCAGCUCACCCUGAAGCAGUGGAUUUCCAGCCCAAGUAAGGUGCCCCAUCGGUGAGGAUAUAUCAAGUGCUGUGCGAGAUGCUUCCAUCAAGUUGCCACCACUGAAGCUGUUAUAGCCUGGCAGUGAUGAACGUGCGAGCGUAGAUGAGAAGUAUGAGGAACAUGAGGAGACAU